AAACUACUGGAUUAGAGCAAAGAAAACACUACAGAACUCAGGAAAUGUCACAGAAACCUCCUGACCUGGGGAAAACAUGCCAAGCUAGGGAAACGGCACUCCCUUUGGAAUUAAGAGUGACAAAGGCUCUUCUUGACACAUCCUUUAACUUCGGAGAUGCAGCAAGAA